GGGAAAGUGCAGAAAGAGAUGUUUGGCUGCUGAGAAAAUUUAAUUAGUUAUCGGAGCGCCUAAAGGGGGGUCGAAAUCCCUAAUCCAAUCUCUGGAGACGAAGAAAUCUAAGUGACUGAUAUUUGUAGGGGAAAUCUUUGGAAGACUCGAACAAAUGAUAAACGUUGGUGUCAACGAAUGGAUAAAGACACAAUUGUGUUUUUAUCAUAAUAAUUAUCUUGAUAUUAAUGUAAUUAACUGUCACAGCAUCCAUUGCGAGCUGGAUUGUUUAGGCUUCACUGUUUCGUCAACUAGAGCAAAUUUACAUUUUUUUUCUUUUUUUUUCCUUCUUUUUGACAUUAAUUUUAUAAAAAUUUUGUUUAUUUAAUUGAUUUCUCUGGUGAGAGACUGUUCUCUCUGAUUCAUGGAAGGUUGCAAGAGUCCAACCCUUUGUAAGGUACUUAUUUU
rnacentral:misc_RNA from 1 species